ACAAUCAUAUCACAUUGAAACACUGGUUCUUGUACAAUCACCAAAGUUAAGCAAUGUUGAGUGUGCUCAGUACCUAGAUGGGUGACCACUUGGAAAUACCAGGUGUUAU